UAAUACAAUCUGAUAUGUCCUAGUGAAACUUUUGAACCGUGCCAGAGCCUGUUUCAAGCCACAUGGAGCUUCAAGGACUAGAAUUUCUUCAGUUUGCUUUCUGCUGAUUCAACUGCCUUCUAAUCCGCGAGAUACCCUUCCAACUUGUCACACGUCUCUGGGACACGUAUCUAGUCGAAGGAGACGCCUUACCAGAUUUCCUUGUGUAUAUAUUUGCCAGUUUUCUUCUAACGGUACUAUCUAUCUAUAUAACAACAAUAUGAGCCCAUUUCUAUGUUGUUAUUGAAACAGAACUAAAAGGAAGCGGUGCUACUGGUCUCGCAAUUUCACUCCUAGGGGCUAUGGUUAUGCCAUUAUCCAGUAUACCACUCACUAGAGAUAGUGAG